UUUAGAUGUCGCUUCUUGAUUUACUACUUGAAUGGUGCUAAAUUAUUUCUAUUCGAAUUACUACUAAACCUUCGAUUGCAUUCAGCGUGAGUGCAAAGCUGUGACAUGAAUGGAGACAAUUGCAUCAAAAGCUCUCAGUGGACUUUCCCCAAGAAGUCCCCUCAAAUCAUGUGACAAUGCUCAUCUCAUCCCCUGCAAGAAUAUCUGUAGAGAUUAAAAAAUAAACAACAAACAUACAAACAAAAAACUCACAAAUAUGUAUAAUCUCUGGGCUUGUGUCUGUUCUUUAUAUAUAUAUAAAAAAACACUAAAUGGUCAAUUACACUGCUGCAGUACUGAAUUCUAGGUUCUGAUUGAUCAUUCAUUCCCUACCGCUUAUCCAAACUACCUCGAGACACGGGGAGAACAUGCAAAUCAUUGAGGUACUGAUGUUUUCAGACAUUUAUUUAUGUAUGAAUUUAUGUAUUUAUGUAUUUUAUGUAUGUACCGGGCUGUCUGCGCCUUUCUGACAUCACUUCCUGGUGGAGAACAAUCAC